rnacentral:rRNA from 1 species
UACGUAGGGUGCAAGCGUUAAUCGGAAUUACUGGGCGUAAAGCGUGCGCAGGCGGUGAUGUAAGACAGACGUGAAAUCCCCGGGCUCAACCUGGGAACUGCAUUUGUGACUGCAUCGCUGGAGUACGGCAGAGGGGGAUGGAAUUCCGCGUGUAGCAGUGAAAUGCGUAGAUAUGCGGAGGAACACCGAUGGCGAAGGCAAUCCCCUGGGCCUGUACUGACGCUCAUGCACGAAAGCGUGGGGAGCGAACAGG